GUGGUUUUUGUUUUUACUGUCUUGCCAGUGUUCUUCAUUGCGAUUUAUUUUUAUAUGCAAGUUGCCGGAAAUGACGUCACUAAGUAUUUUGAAAAUUGUUGUGCAAUAUGUGUCAAUAAAUAUCGAUAUUGUGGCGUGGUAAUCAAGAUACUAUCAGUAUUCCUGUUUAGUAUAUAUGCAGUAUUUUUGCCAACAUAUACGUAUGUAAUUUAAUGCUAAUAUUUGUUUAUGUUUAACAAAACACAAGCACACAUUAUAUGUAUUUGAAACACGUUCUACAUAAUAUAAAUAACACAUAGCUAAGAGGAUGAUAUAGCAGACUGUUACUCUGAGAAAACAUUGUCAACCGUAGCGAAUCUUAUUUUAUGCAUAGACUGCUGGUAAAUGGUACUGAAUUAUGUAAUUGAGUCCAGCAACGGUGUUUUACUCCAAACCAUGAAUUUUAACAGAUAAAUACACACUCGUAGUAGAAUAGUUCCAUAUUAAUACGAAACACAAAUGUUGCAUGUCCAAUGCGUAAAUGUUGAAAGGUCCAUCUUUUCAUACUAGUUAUUUAUUGUAAUAUUUACAUUUACAGGCAUGCACAGGCACUCGCACAAGGGAAACAACCAGAUAGAAAAUUGGAAUAUACUUUAGCUUACCUUACUCUCGUCGAAGCUACAGUAGAGUCAGCUCCACAGCUAACAAUACAAAUAUACCUGUCAAUUACGAAUACGCUCACUGACACUACCCAAAC
rnacentral:lncRNA from 1 species